ACGAACGCUGGCGGCAUGCCUAACACAUGCAAGUCGAACGAUGCCUCCGGGCAUAGUGGCGCACGGGUGCGUAACGCGUGGGAAUCUGCCCUUGGGUUCGGAAUAACUCGCCGAAAGGCGAGCUAAUACCGGAUGAUGACGUAAGUCCAAAGAUUUAUCGCCCAAGGAUGAGCCCGCGUAGGAUUAGCUAGUUGGUGGGGUAAAGGCCCACCAAGGCGACGAUCCUUAGCUGGUCUGAGAGGAUGAUCAGCCACACUGGGACUGAGACACGGCCCAGACUCCUACGGGAGGCAGCAGUGGGGAAUAUUGGACAAUGGGCGAAAGCCUGAUCCAGCAAUGCCGCGUGAGUGAUGAAGGCCUUAGGGUUGUAAAGCUCUUUUACCCGGGAUGAUAAUGACAGUACCGGGAGAAUAAGCUCCGGCUAACUCCGUG
rnacentral:rRNA from 1 species